rnacentral:rRNA from 1 species
UACGUAGGAGGCAAGCGUUGUCCGGAAUUACUGGGCGUAAAGCGCGUGUAGGUGGUGGGACAAGUCUGCUGUGAAAGCGCCUGGCUUAACCGGGCGAGGUCGGCGGAAACUGUCCGACUCGAGGACGGUAGAGGGGGGUGGAAUUCCCGGUGUAGUGGUGAAAUGCGUAGAGAUCGGGAGGAACACCAGUGGCGAAGGCG